rnacentral:tRNA from 1 species
AAAAGACUUGGCGUCAUGCUAGCGCAUUGGAUUUCGGCUUCUUCAAUACAAACGACGCUCUCAAUAGGCUGCGGGUUGGAGUUCUGUUGUCCUCU